ACAUAUAUAUAUAUAUAUGUGUGUGUGUGUGUGUGUCUGUGUGUCUGUGUAUAUAUAUAUACACACACAUAUAUAUAUGUGUGUGUAUAUAUAUAUA
rnacentral:miRNA from 1 species